rnacentral:rRNA from 1 species
UACGAAGGGGGCUAGCGUUGUUCGGAAUUACUGGGCGUAAAGCGCACGUAGGCGGAUUUGUAAGUCAGGGGUGAAAUCCCGGGGCUCAACCUCGGAACUGCCUUUGAUACUGCAAGUCUCGAGUCCGAUAGAGGUGAGUGGAAUUCCUAGUGUAGAGGUGAAAUUCGUAGAUAUUAGGAAGAACACCAGUGGCGAAGGCGGC